AGCGAUCAAGGAAGAGACGAGAAUAGGGAGAGAUCGAGAAAGAGAGUGACGAAUUGAGCAAGAAGAAGUCCGCAGUUACGAUCUUAUUUUUAUUUUCUCUUUUCUUCUCACGGCUACAAGAUACUUUGAGGUUAGUGUACGAAUUUUUCCUUUUUCCUAUGGAUUCGUUGUUGUUGUCAAUACUUUUAUCUAUAAGAAAUUGUGGGGCAAAAUUUUUUUUUUUGUUAAAGUACUUAAUACUAGUGUUACUACCACCUUUUGGCAGAUUACUCGGGCAAAUCAGUAGUAGUAUAUGAAUUAUAUGCUUAUUCUUAUUCGGUCAAGGUUGGUCACUAAGUUAAUGGGAAAAGUCAAAAAUUAUCAUAUGGUUUGCUGGAAACCAAGAGUAGUAAUAGUAUAUUGUUAAAAUGGUUCACUGGAAACGAAUUUAGUUCACUGGAAAUUAAGUUUACAUGGCCUAUUGAUUUUGGUCAAUAUUGAUGGCAUGACUGUUUCCUUAUUCUUAUUGGAAGUUAUUGAAAAAGGUAGGAAAGUAAGAUUUCUGUAAAGAAAAUUAGUACUAUCGUUACUACCAGCACCCAGGACGUACUUGCUGUCAACAUUUCUGGCUUUAGUCCUAUUUCAUGUUAUGAAAAAAAAAAACGUGAGUUGUAAAGUUAUUUUGAGAAAGUGUUCAUGGGUUCUGUUUAUUGUUGGUGGAAUUAGUAAUAGGUUUUAUAGGCGAAAGAUAAUGCCAUGGUUGGCAGUGUUUCCAGGCUUUUGGAGAUUAAAACUAUUUUUCUUGUCAAUUUUUGAAAUUUAAUGUAGGUAACAAUAGGUGACUUUAUGAUGACAUUGUGAAUAGGAUACUAAAAUAGAUAGAGAAAAUCCUGAUUUAACUAUAUUUACGGGUCAAAAUAAAUAUAAAGAUAUUGGUGUCAUUAGAUCUGUAUUCUUAUGGAGAUUAUAUUUUCAGACAGAUUUUGAUCAUUCAAAGACUUUACGAAAAGGUAAAUUUGUAAAUUGAUGUUUGGCUUCGAUUUGAGGCAAGUUGAGACUUUCCUUCGACUCUUUUUCAACGUGCUUACUUGAAUAUUUGUUAGUUAUGUGUAAUGGGAGUAAUGGGGAUUUGGGGGUCCCGGAUAGAUGUUUGUGAUGAGCAUCUAUGCGGGUACCGGUGUUAUUUGAAGGGAUAAAAUGAGUUAAUUGUAUGUUUGAACUGUUUUGAGAAUACAUUUACUUGAUAAGUUGAGUAAACUUUGAAAUUAAUGGUUGAUCUGACUUGAGACGUGAAGUGCUUUGCUUGACUUUACUAUUGAUUUGCGAUCGGAGUUGCACGCCUGCAAAUCAUGCAUUGCAUUGCACAAUGUUAUAUAUAUUUAUGGGAUCGGAUGCAUGCCUGCACAUUAUAUUAUAUAUAUUUAUAGGAUCGGAGUGCACGCCUGCACAAUAUAUUAUAUAUAUUUAUGGGAUCGGAGUGCACGCCUGCACAGGAUAUUACAUAAAUUUAUGGGGUCGGAGUGCACGCUUGCACAGUAUGUUAUAUAUAUAUAUAUAUAUAUAUAUUUGGAUCGGAGUGCACGCCUGCACAGUAUAUUAUAUAUAUAUAUAUGGGAUCGGAGUGCACGCUUGCACAGUAUAUAUAACACCCCGUAAAAGUCGUGCAUGUACUAGCCCCUAGUAGUGCACUCUUAGCCUUGGAAACUUGAAAAUAUACUAAGAGUCAAGAGACUUAGUCUCAUUUUUAUCUCUUAAACUUCGGGGAUUUUAAUUUCAGUCCUCCCAACCUUUGAUUUUAAAUUUACUUGUUGCAUUGCGAUGGGGCAAGGUCGUAAUACAUCUCGGGUAAGUUUUGAAAUUUUUAGACGAGCCUAAGGGCAUGUUUGGUGUUCAAUUCCAGUAGCUCAGGGCGAUAAGGGGACGUCUCCUGGGUUAUAUAUAUAUAUAUAUAUAUAUAUUUGGAUCGGAGUGCACGCCUGCACAGUAUAUUAUAUAUAUAUAUAUGGGAUCGGAGUGCACGCUUGCACAGUAUAUAUAACACCCCGUAAAAGUCGUGCAUGUACUAGCCCCUAGUAGUGCACUCUUAGCCUUGGAAACUUGAAAAUAUACUAAGAGUCAAGAGACUUAGUCUCAUUUUUAUCUCUUAAACUUCGGGGAUUUUAAUUUCAGUCCUCCCAACCUUUGAUUUUAAAUUUACUUGUUGCAUUGCGAUGGGGCAAGGUCGUAAUACAUCUCGGGUAAGUUUUGAAAUUUUUAGACGAGCCUAAGGGCAUGUUUGGUGUUCAAUUCCAGUAGCUCAGGGCGAUAAGGGGACGUCUCCUGGGUUACCCCACCCCUCUAAGGCAGGUGCCGCCUGGGCUACCCCACCGCUAUAAGGCGGGUGACGCUUGGGGUACUCCAGUGCUCUGGGCAGGGCGCCGCCCUGGGUAUCGCGCCCGGAUAAAUUGCAGCACCCUAUUCCGUCUCAUUAAGGGUUAAAUGGUACUUCUCCAAUCCCUUAUCAUCUCUAACACGGGAUUUAAUCCCAAGAACAACAAAGUAAGUGUAUUUUCAUCAAAAUCUCUCAAGAAACUCCAUUGGGUUUCAAACUAAAAACCCAAAUAACUCAAGAUUUAACCAUGGGUUUUCAAAAGCAAUCGAAGAUUUGAAAUCCCCAAUCUGUAAGCUUCGAAAAUUACCUAUUAUCUUCUGGAAUUAAGGUACGCGGGGUUUUCCUAAAAUCUCAUGGGCAUAGAAAUCAUAUUUUUAAGAAAAGGGUUUUGGAUUUGUGAAUAAAUUCAUGUUUUAGAAGUUUUGAUGGUAUUUUUUUGGUCUUUAGGACUUCCCCAAAUUUAUUUGAAUUGAUAUAUGUAUAUAUGUACAUGUUUAAUGUUGAUGAUUGAAUUGAGAGCAUGAUUCAUGUGAAAAACCCUCUCUUGUUAUGAUUUUUCCUUACUUAUCAUAUGACGUGGAUUGUUUUUGAAAUGCAUCUUGAAAAACAUGUUACGAAGUCUCUUAAUUUAAGAAUAAUUUGGCUAUGAAUCUUGAAUUCCAAAGUGAGGGGUGUUUGUAUUGAAAAAUGUUGAAAAUACAUAUAAUGAAAGAUUGCAUGGGUUUUGCCAAAAGCAUAUGACAACCUUAUGUUUGAAGAGUUCUUCCAUGGCUUUGACUUAUGUUUUCGGGACAUGAAAUCUCUUACACUAUUUGCAUAUUUGGGUGGUCUGAACAAAAUUUUAAUGAAAGAAUUAUGCAUGAUGCAUUAUGGCUCAGAAAUAGGAAUUGCAAGUCUUGGUUUGAUGACACCAAUUCAGAUUAUACCAUGAUAAUUUUCGAACAGAAUAGAAUGUAGGUUUGAAAUCAGACUUUUCAUAUGUUGAAACAAGAAAAAAAAUGCAUGACUCAGAACAGGAUAAAAUUGGGCAUAAAGAGAGCUUAGGUGGUUCCCCUAAGAAGGCAAGAGUUCAGACAACUCAUUGUCCGAAACUGUGAUUUGCCGAUCCGGGUAUAUUAUUUUACUCUGGCCUAGUGCCGUGUGGCGUAUCAGAAUUAGAAACUCCAACCCUUGCGGCACACUCAGGUUGGGGCUUCCCCGUCGAGUCAAUGACGGAUUCCAUACGGCCUCUGGGAUUUUAGACUCUAGGGGUGUACCACCUAACUCAGAAUUAAUACGAAGACCAGAACUUGCAUUGUCAAGAAUGUUUUAUGAUUUUUAGAAAAGUACCCAUGUGUUUUGAAAACCACUUUAUGUAUGAUGUUUUGACCAAAUUGCUCUCUAUUAUUUUAUGUAUAUAUAUACAAGAUUUAUUUUGGAUUACUUUGCGUAACAAUACAUCUGUAUUGACCCCCCUUCUUCCUCCAGGUUCUGAGGCACAAUCUAGGGGUCCAGAAAAGUAGUACAUUUCGUUCAUACAGAGUUGCAGUGUCUAGUUGGUGAGCCUUCUCUAUUCUAGAAGGCCAGUUUAUUUGUAGACAACUAUUAUUAGAUAUGGUUUUCGGUCUACUAGGGGCCUUGUCCCAGUUUCAGACAGUUUUCAGAUUAUUAUGUAGUAAAGAUUUCGCAGACUGAGUCAGAUGUUAUUCAGAUGUAGUUGAGUUACAGUUUCCAUACUUAUGUUGAAUUUAGAAUUGACCAUGUUUCCGUAGAAGAUUAUGUUUCCACAUCUUCUUUUAUUAUAUGAAUGUUGUACAUAAUUACUAGAUAGAGAAGGGUGUUCUGGGCCUUCAUGGUUCGGGAUGUCCGUCACGGCCAGGCCUUAGUUCGGGUCAUGAAAAACUUUGUAUCAAAGCAUGGUUCAUGAUCCCACGGUGUCUGUGAAAUUGCGUUGGGUAAAGCCUUGUUUAUGGGUGUGUAGCGCGCCACACUUAUAAGCAGGGGGCUACUAGGCGUUUAAGAAAUGUUUCUCCUCUUUGUGAUUUAGUUCGUGCUAAAGAGUCUGAAUUAGAAUUGCCCCCUUAUCAGUGGUCUAUUGUGUUUCAGAAAAUAGUCAUGCCUCCUCAUUGUUCCAACAACUAGGAUACUCAGGAUGAUGAAGUCCGUCCCACCCAUGGGAUGCGGACCAAUAACAGAGCACACACUCCAGAACUUGUUCCUACUUCGGGAGUACCUCCAGUCCCGACCAGUCCUCCUCGAGCUCCAAGGACAAAUAUUAACCAUCCUUAAUCUUCUCAGAGGAACAUAUUAAAUGUAGAAUUCAAACAACCCAUUCACAUGCUUACAAAGUUAGUAGUUCUACAGACUCAGAGGUCGGAGGAUACUGGGUCGACAUCUGUUACUUCGGAGGCUACUUGGGUAGGCCAGUUUAUGAGGAUGAACCCGCCCAAAUUUUUGGGCACUAAGGUAGAAGAGGAACUGUAGGAGUUUGUAGAUGAAAUUGAGAAAAUUUUUAGAGUUAUACAUAUGGAUCAGGUAGAAGGGAUCGAGUUAGCAGCAUACCAGCUGAAGGAUGUAGCGAACCAGUGGUACAAUGAGUGGAAGAAUGCAAAAUGAUAAAGUGCUGAGCCCACAGUUUGGGAUGAGUUCAUGGAAGCUUUCCUUGACUAAUUCUUUUCUCUAGAGUUGAGGAAGGCCAAGGAAGAAGAGUUCAUGAAUCUUAAGCAGGAGAAGAUGAGUGUUUGAGAGUAUACUCUGAAGUUUAAACAACUGGCUCGUUAUGCACCAGAAAUGACUGGUAAUAUGAGAGCCCUAUGAGGAAAUUUGCAUCUGGCCUUUUCGAUGAUCUAGUGCUUGAAUGCCAAAGGGCAAUGCUAGAUAAGGAAAUAGACUUUCCUAGGCUAUUGGUCCACAUGCAGCAGGUAGAAGACAAGAAAAAGAAAAUUUCUGAAUCUAGAGAAAGUGACAGGAAGGCGAAGAGGGCCAGAUCAGUGUAUCAAAACCCUAGUUAGCAGUGGAGCGGUAAUUGCGGUAACAAAUGGAAAAAAAAAGUUUUGGAGUAACGCGCAGUCUGCAGCUAGUGCCCCAGCGCUCAGACCCCAGUUGAUAGACGCCUUCAGAAUUUUCAGACUAGUCAUGGACCCAGAGCUCAGGAUACUCAGUCUCAGGACAGUGUGGCUCAGUAUUACCGUCCUUAUCCGUGAUGUGAGACAUGCUUAAAGCAUCAUCCAAAAAGGUGUCAGCUGGGUUUUCUAGUGUAUUUUUGAUACAGCCAGACGGGUCAUUUCUAUAGAGAUUGUCCCUCCGUUAGGAGAAAUGUUGGUGAAGCCAAGUCUUAGGAAAACUCUUUUGCACCACCACUGCCUCAAAAGGGAACUACUUCAGCUACCGGUAUGUUACAAAUCUUUUCUCAUGAUGUAUAUGUGUUGCUUGAUCCCGGGUCUACGCUAUCCUGUGUGACCCCUUAUGUGGCUGUUGGUUUUGGGUUUGAGCUCGACGUGAUUCCUAAACCUUUUUUUUGUUUCCACCCCGAUGGGGGAUUCUGUUGUUGCUAGGAGGGUGUAUAGGGGUUGUGUUGUGACAGUUUGUAGCUGCGAUACUGUGGAAGAUCUCAUGGAGAUAGAUAUGGUUGACUUUAACGCUAUCUUAAGGAUGGACUGGCUCCAUUCAUGUUAUGCCAUACUGAAUUGUAGGACCCAUAAAGUCACUUUGUCUUUUCCGAACGAACCAAUUAUAAAAUGGGAAGGUCAUUCUUUAGCACCUAUAUGGAACUUUAUAUCCUACCUCAGAGCCCGUAAACUUAUCUCUAAGGGUUGUUUAUACCAUCUUAUUUGGGUUAAAGAUUCUAAUGCCAAAAGUCUUCCUCUUCAGUCUGUCCCUGUAGUAAAUGAAUUUCUGGAAGUUUUUCCAGAUGAUCUCCUAAGAAUUCCACCUAAUAAGGAGAUAGAUUUUGGGAUUGAUGUAUUGCCAAAUACCCGUCCUAUUUCUAUCCCUCUAUAUAUAAUGGCUCCUGCAUAGCUAAAGGAGUUGAAAAAACAGCUAGUAGAUCUCAUAGAUAAAGGUUUUAUCAGACCUAGUGUUUCUCCCUGGGGUGCACCUGUACUCUUCAUGCGAAAGAAAGAUGGUUCCCUGCAUAUGUGCAUUGAUUACCGUCAGCUAAAUAAGGUCACUAUUAAAAGUAAAUAUCCUCUUCCUAGGAUUGAUGACCUCUUUGACCAACUUCAGGGUGCUAAGUGUUUUUCUAAAAUAGACCUUUAUUCGUGAUAUUAUCAGUUGAAAGUUAGGGAGUCAGACAUUCCUAAAAUAGCUUUUUGAACUAGAUAUGGUCAUUAUGAAUUCUUAGUCAUGUCCUUCAGGUUGACUAAUGCUCCUGCAGCUUUCAUAGACCUAAUGAAUAGGGUCUUCCAUCAGUUCCUAGACCUGUUUGUCAUAGUUUUUAUUGAUGACAUCUUGAUUUACUCCAAAAGUAGGGAGGACCACGUCAAUCACCUCUGAAUUAUUCUCCAGACUAUCAAAGAUCAUAAGUUGCAUGUGAAAUUAUCCAAGUGUGAAUUCUGUUUGAAUGCCAUUGCCUUCUUGGGGCAUAUUGUGUCUAGUAAAGGGAUUCGGGUUGAUCCCCAAAAGGUUGAGGUAGUGAGAAAAUGGCCCAGACCCACAUCUACAACUGACAUUCGGAGCUUCUUGGGUUUGGUGGUUUAUUACAGAAGGUUUGUAGAGAGUUUCUCUUCCAUAGCUGCACCACUUACUAAGUUGACUCAGAAAAAGGUAAAGUUUAUAUGGUCUGACACUUGUGGAAAUAGUUUUGAAAAGUUGAAAGACAAGUUGACUACUGCUCCUAUUUUGACUCUUCUGAAAGGUACAGAGUGUUUUUUUGUGUACUGUGAUGCGUCCCGUAUGGGACUUGGGUGUGUACUUAUGUAGCACGGUAAGGUGGUGGCUUAAGCAUCUAGGCAGUUAAAGGUGCAUGAGUGGAAUUACCCCACUCAUGACUUGGAAUUAGCAGUUGUGGUGUUUGCACUUAGAAUUUGGAGGCAUUAUCUUUAUGGGGUGCAUGUUGAUAUUUUCACUGACCAUAGAAGUUUGCAGUAUGUUUUCUCACAGAAAAAACUAAUCCUUAGGCAGAGGUGUUGGAUGGAGUUUUUGAAAGACUAUGACAUGAGCCUUCACUAUCAUCCGAGUAAGGCAAAUAUUGUAGCCGGCGCCCUCAGUAGAUUAUCUAUGGGCAGUCUUUCUCAUGUUGAGGAAGGGAAGAGAGAUAUGGCAAAAGAUAUUCACCAACUUGCAAAUCUAAGAGUGCGACUCUUGGAUUUUGAAGAUGGGGGAAUGGUUGUUCAUGAGAUAGCUAAGUCUUCCCUUUGUGCAGAAGUUAAAGAGAAACAGGUUGAAGAUCCCAUUUUGAGGUUGACCAAGAAUGAUGUGGGUCAAAAGAAGGUGAUGUCCUUCGAAAUUGGUGGUGAUGGUAUUUUAUGUGGUAUCAGGGUAGAUUAUGUGUACCAGAUGUUGAUGUUUAGCGGAAGAGAAUACUUGAUGAGGCUCACACUUCGAGGUAAGUUGUUCACACAGACUCUACUAAGAUGUACCAUGAUCUGAAAUCUAUGUAUUGGUAGAAUAAUAUGAAGUGUGAUGUGGCUAACUUCGUUUCCAAGUGCUUGAAUUGCCAACAAGUUAAAGUAGAGCAUUUGAGGCCAGGUGGUUCUUCCCAAGAGAUAGCUUUACCCUUGUGGAAGUGGGAGAUGAUUAGUAUGGACUUCAUUACAGGACUUCUGAGGUCCCGAAACUAGUAUGACUCCAUUUGGGUAAUUGUAGAUAGACUGAAGAAGUUAGUCCACUUUCUUCCUGUCAGGACUAACUAUUCAGGAGAGGAUUAUGCAAAGUUGUUCAUUGCAGAAAUAGUUCAUUUGCAUAAAGCACCUGUGUCCAUCAUAUUCGAUCGAGGUACAUAGUUUUAAUCUCAGUUUUGGAGAUAUUUUUAGAAAGGUUUAGGUACCUAAGUGAACCUAUGCACUGGUUUUCACCCUCAAACUGAUGGGCAGGAUGAGCGCACCAUUCAGACCCUUAAGGACAUGUUGAGGGCCUGUGUGAUUGAUUUUAAAGGUAGAUGGGUAGAGCACUUGCCAUUGAUAGAGUUCUCAUAUAAUAAUAGUUUCCUUUCUAGUAUUAAGAUGGCACCAUUUGAGGCAUUGUAUGGGAUAAGAUGUAGGUCUCCAAUAGGGUGGUAUGACGUGGGUGAGACGCAUAUGUUUGGGCCUGAUCUUGUUCAUCAGGCGAUGAAAGACGUGAAACUUAUUAGGGAAUGACUAAAGAUAGCUCAAAGUCUCCAGAAAUCUUACACCGAUGUUAGAAGAAGAGAUUUAGAGUAUGAGGUUAGAGAUAGGGUAUUCCUAAAAGUGUCUCCUAUGAAGGGAGUCAUGCAAUUUUGGAAGAAAGGUCAGUUGAGUCCUCGCUAUAUAGGACCCUAUCAGAUCUUGAGGAGGAUAGGUGUAGUUGAGUAUGAGUUAGAGUUGCCUGCUAGUUUGGGUUCUGUUCACCCGGUAUUUCAUAUAUCCUUGUUGAAAAAGUGUAUUGGGGACCAUUCAGUAAUAUUCCCUGUUGAAGAAAUCAAAGUGACAGACUCUUUAUUCUAUGAAGAAGAACAGGUGGAAAUCUUAGAUCAUCAAGUUCAAAAAUUGAGGAACAAAGAUAUAGCCUCAGUUAAAGUGUUGUGGAGGAAUCAAAAAGUUGAAGAGGCUACUUGGGAAUCCAAAGAGGACAUGCGAGUUAGAUACCCAGACUUAUUUGAUCCGGUGAAUGAUGAAACGAAAGAUACGAAUCUUUGUCUUAUUCUUCUAUAGCUUAGUAUACUUGAAAUUGUACUUGACUAUAUUUCUGCAUCAUCAUUCGGGGAUGAAUGAUCCCAAGGAGGGGAUAAUGUAAUGCCCCGUAAAAGUCUUGCAUGUACUAGCCCCUAGUAGUGCACUCUUAGCCUUGGAAACUUGAAAAUAUACUAAAUGUCAAGAGACUUAGUCUCAUUUUUAGCUCUUAAACUUCGGGGAUUUUAUUUUCAGUCCUCCCGACCUUAGAUUUUAUAUUUUCUUAUUGCAUUAUGAUGGGGCAAGGUUGUAGUACAUCUCGGGUGAGUUUCAAAAUUUUUAGAUGAGCCUAAGGGCAUGUUUGGUGUUCAAUUCCACUAGCUCGAGGCGAUAAGGGGGCAUCGCCUGGGGUACCCCGCCGCUCUAAGAAAGGCGCUGCCCGGGCUACCCCACCGCUAUAAGGCGGGCGACGCUUGGGGUACUCUGGUAAUCUACGCAGGGCGCCGCCCUGGGUAUCGCGCUCGGCUAAAUUUCAGCAUCCUAUUCCAUCUCAUUAAGGGUAAAAUGGUACUUCUCCAACCCCUUAUAAUCCCUAACACGGUAUUUAAUCCCAAGAACACCAAAGUAAGUGUAUUUUCAUCAAAAUCUCUCAAGAAACUCUAUUUGGGUUUCAAACUGAAAACCCAAAUAACUCUAGAUUUAACUGUGGGUUUUCAAAAUUGAUCGAAGAUUUGGAAUCCCCAAUCUGUAAGAUUCUAGAAUUACCUAUUAUCUUCCAGAAUUAAGGUAUGUGGGGUUUUCCUAAAAUCUCAUGGUCAUAGAAAUCAUGUUUUUAAGAAAAGGGUUUCGGAUUUGUGAAUAAAUUCAUGUUUUAGAAGUUUUGAUGGUAUUGUUUGGUCUUUAGGCCUUCCCCAAACUUAACUGAAUUGAUAUAUGUAUGCAUACACAUAACAAAAUAUGAUCAUUUUAGAUUACUAUAUACUAGAUUAUUCUUAAAUAACAUGUUCUUCGGUCACUAUUAGCAUGGUAAUCUAGAUACUUUUCCCUUAAACAACGUCUCUACUCUGGCUACUCCCCUAUCACGGCCUUCUUGCCUCACCGGUUUCACCUUUAGGAUGACAUAGUUUUUAAUGAUUUUUCUCCUUUUCCACUUUGCUAAUAAACUUCUUAGCAUGCUAUUUUUCGAAUAAUUCUACUAUAAAGUAACUAACAUGAACUUAUUUUAUCAUAUCAUGAUUGUCAGGAAUUUAUGAAUUUAGCUAUUCAUAACCAUAAAUAAAUAUACCUGUUCUGGUAGAUUUGAUAAUUCUGGGCUGUGUUCAUCCAUAGCUUUUGCUUUGAAAUAUAUCUGUUUUUUUAUUGAAUAUUCAAAAAAAAAUUAUUUACAAAGGAGAGCUUUUUGCUUCAACACAUGAAGACUUGUCUUUAUCUUGCCGAAUGACUUACAUAUUUAUAGGAGGAAAUAAGCUAUUCCUACUAACUUCAAACGUUUUUAACAUGUAAACUAUACUAUUCCUACUUUUUACAAAAAAAGUCUUCCUUUUCAAUAGUAGAAAAGGACUAGACUAAACUAGACUAGUAUAAUAAGACAAAAACUAGGUCCUAUCUUUACAAAAGAAAAAAUCUUAAGACUAAAAAACAAAAAACCUAUAAUGGCACUUUGGCCAAAAAGUCAAAACUAAACAAUUUACGUAACAAAAUUUCAAAACUAUACAUGUCACUUUCUAUCUUUUAUUAUCUUAUUUUUUGUCUUUAUUCCAUCAUUACUCCAUUGAUUUUUAUCUUCUAGCUACCGUCCUUAUCUUCUUGGUUGAUUUUUUUUGUUCUAGCCAAACUUCCGGGAUAAUAUUAUCUUCUCCAUUACAUCUCGAACAUUGAUGGUCUGGAUAUUUGUGUCCAAUUAUUUUGCAAUAUCUUGUGAAUAAUCCAUCUGAAAUAAAUCUCUUCCUAAUUGCUCUUGAGGACUAGACUAAACUAGACUAGUAUAAUAAGACAAAAACUAGGUCCUAUCUUUACAAAAGAAAAAAUCUUAAGACUAAAAAACAAAAAACCUAUAAUGGCACUUUGGCCAAAAAGUCAAAACUAAACAAUUUACGUAACAAAAUUUCAAAACUAUACAUGUCACUUUCUAUCUUUUAUUAUCUUAUUUUUUGUCUUUAUUCCAUCAUUACUCCAUUGAUUUUUAUCUUCUAGCUACCGUCCUUAUCUUCUUGGUUGAUUUUUUUUGUUCUAGCCAAACUUCCGGGAUAAUAUUAUCUUCUCCAUUACAUCUCGAACAUUGAUGGUCUGGAUAUUUGUGUCCAAUUAUUUUGCAAUAUCUUGUGAAUAAUCCAUCUGAAAUAAAUCUCUUCCUAAUUGCUCUUGCAGUAGAUUGUUUCUCUGGGUUAAGUAACGUCAUUAUCCAUUGCCUAACAUCUUCCAUAUUUAUUUAUCGUAGUUCUCUUGAAUUUGAACAAAUCAUUUAAUGAUCUCUUGAAUAAUAGCUCCAUAUUGGGUUUCCAUUGAUAUAAUUAUUUGCUAAUUCUUAAAUAAUUAUAGCUAUUCCAAUAAGUCGUUUAUUUACGUAAAAAUCAGGUAUAUCGAUUUUGGGUAUCUCUGGCUACUGCACAAUAUCUUCAAGCGGUAUGUACAAGGGGUCUUUUUGUAUUUUUGGUGUAAAUGGUUUUUCAAAUAUCUUAUUCAUGUUCAUGUUCUGAUAUCUUUGUCCACUAACUUCUUUGCUUGUACCUGCAAUUGUAGAUUGAUAAACGUUAUGGGUUUUAUGGAGUGU
rnacentral:lncRNA from 1 species